GGGUCUGUAGCUCAAUUGGUAGAGCGCCUGGUUCGCAACCGGGAAGAUGUCAGUUCGAUUCUGACCAGCAUCCA
rnacentral:tRNA from 1 species